CAACAUUAACAAUGUCUGUACUGUAUUUCUGAGCAAUUUGAUGUUAUUUGAAUGGACAAAAAAUGUGAUUUUCCUUUAAAAAAACAUUUCAAAGUGACCCCAAACUUUUGAACGGUAGUGUACAUUGACUUCCCCAGAAUCGUCCUUGACAAACACCUGUAUAUGUGCUUGUUUCCAGUAUUCUAAGAAAAGACCACUCUGAAGAAUUGAGAUUCAAUCUCUGGAUGCAAGUCUAGUUGAGUUGUAUACAAAUGCGACUCAAUUCAGUAAAAAUGGACUUUCUUUCAUUAUCGUAACGAUCACGUUAUGUUCCUGUGCAGAGAUUUCACCAGAUAAUACUGCAGGGCUUUGACAUAAAAAAAAAAAUUGCCACUUGUCCUUCAGACAAGUAGGACAGAUUUGUUUUUUUUUUUGGUCAGAAAGCUCAAGUCACCAAAGAGUGAUACUUAAAAUUGUCGUAUGAUUCAAGGAACCACUUUACAAUAUAAAAAUGACCAUUGUUGCUACCGUAUAGAGAAUCAGACAAAUGUAGGCUACCCUCUGCAUUAUGGGCUUCUUUGCAUAUUCAAGCCUGUCUCAAAAUAGAACACUGCCCCUUUUAGAUGCACCUGGAGGAUGAUUGGCAACCCUUAAAUAGCCCCCCAAAAUAUUGCACAGUUACAAUUCCAACCGAAUACUUUUUGUCUUUAAUAAAUAAUUGACUAAUUUAAUGAAUCGGGAAUCAAAUGGCUACAGUAGGUUUCUUAAAAGAACGGUAACUAACGAAGACAUGUUUAUAACAUUGUAAGGCUGAAAUAUUCAGGUUUCAGUGGAGGUUUAUUGACCGCACUGUUCAACCAAUCCAAUAAAUGUGGAGGAAGAGGUGGUGUUCCAAUGGUGUUAGAUUUAUUCCUCAACUUCCAAUAAUAAAUACAUUUCAGAUAUGCUAUCCCCAAAAUAAUCAUUUGGUUGUGUUUAUGAAGGUCUUUGCUAACAUUAGACUGAGUUUUUUAUUUUAUUUUUUAAGAACACUGUAGCAUUUUCAUUCAUUUAUUUUACUGUAGGCUAUCUGUAAAAAUGAGGGGGAAAAAACCACAAAGCACCACAAUUGAAGUGUUGUCAUCACACAGAAAUCCAUUAUAAGUACGUUUUGGAAGGUCUUAUACAGCGCGGUGCAGUCCAAAUUGUGUUUUUCCUGUGUUUUGUAUCAUUGUACAACAGUUGAUGAAACAAACACUGUAAAAGUGUGAACAAAAUUGAUAAGUUUUAUUUUCUGAUAGUUCCUGCUUGAAAAUACAAUAUACACAGGACCUUCAAAUCAGUCUGUUUGCAAGAGUGGGAGUUUCUGCUUGCCUGGUGACAUCACCAGGUGGGAAAUUGGUUAAUAAAUCAAUAACAAAGAGUUCCAAACCUCUGCUAAUAAUAGCAGUUCCUGCCCCACUUAGACCACUCCCACAUUGUUCCCUCCCCACUUAGACCACUCCCAUGUUGUUCCCUCCCCACUACUUAGACCACUCCCACAUUGUUCCCUCCCCACUUAGACCACUCCCAGACAGUCUUAAUUAACAAAAAAUCUUGCUUGAGAAAGUUUUUUGCGAAAAAAUAUUGUUGUUCAUUUUAAUGGAAAACUGUUACAGUAAGGUACUUGUUAUCCAGAAAUGAUUUGAUGUUGAUAUAAACAUGGCUGAAUUGGAACUUUUUAAGAAAAAAAAGUGACAAAGAAAAUGUAUUUCAAAAGAACAGAGUAAAAUAUUUUCAGUUUUAUUUUAUUACUUAGAAGUUGUUGCUUAGUAGCCUCGGCUAUGCUACCUCCAGUACUCUGUGUGGAGUGCAUGGAACAGCGUUUUUGGUUGGGAAAAGUUAUAUUUUGAAAUAGAGCUCAUCUCGGUUAUUUGGCAAAUAAAGGUCUUUCUGAUAGAUAAAAAUGACCUGCAAGAACCUGUAGGAUGAUUAGAAAAUGCUGCUUUUUUGGUUAAGCUUAGUUAAUUACAAACGCUUCAAUGUUUCUCUGUCUCUCCUCGGGCCCAAGCACAUUGGCACACAUGCAGGUGAUUGAUGUGCACAACAUUACAUUUCCAGGAUUAUCAUGACCGUACCUGUGUGCUGACCAACAAUUAUAUAACUGGGCAAAUAACUCCCUAACCAGCAAGGAAUAUCAACACAUUUGCACAUGUGGCACAGAUAGAUCUGCUCAAAAGCACAUUCUUAUUCAAAUGAUUUUUGUUGAUCUUGUGAUUAUUAUUUUUACAUGUCUUUUUUUAACACAACAUCUUCUUCUUGUCUGACACAUUUAUUUACUUGCCCCGGACAAUCUGAAAGUCAAGCCUCACUAUUGUCAAUAGGAAUCAUUCGACACAAAGUAGGCCGUUUUUAGUUUGUCUCAGAAUCAGCACAGAAAGGAGUGUUAAGGAUCACCUUGGGCUAGAUCUUCGUGUGUUAAGCCAGUUAUGACCAAUCCUGUUGCUACCACCUAGUGACUCAGUCACACACAACAUCUGCAGGUUUUAGUGCCUCAUUCCUGAUGACAUCAUUUCAGUGGAAUAGUCAGCUCAUGAGUGUCAUACUAAGUGGGCUGUCCCAUCCAAGUCCUCCAAGACUACUUUGUUAAAGUUUACUUGUACAUUAGUCACAAAACAUCUGUUACAACCAUAUAAUAAGCCUUUAAUGGAACCUCUGAACACCAUUUCCUCUGUUCUGAUGAUGUUAACAGUAUAAUGAGAGCUUGGUAAUGCGUUUGAAGUUCGCUCCUGUGAGAACUAAAAUCAUAACUGGCCUCAAAAAACCACAGUGAGACUCUGGUGAUCUAAAGUCAAUGGCAAAAAACAUGUUAUGUAUUGGUUCAAAAUAAGACCUCUAUAAUAUUUUGAUGUAAUGUUGUGUCUGGGUAUUGGGAUUGGUAUAAAUGAGUAGAGUGUGUGGGCUCUGAUUGUGUGAUAUGAACAUACAUGUCAUUCGGAACAUACUAGUGAUCAUUUUGUAUUUCACAGUGUAGAAGUUGUUUUCCUAGUAAAAACUUGAACUUGUGCAUCAUGAGUUGAAUGUUGAAUACAUUUCCUCAUCUUAGGGUUUUCUGACCUCUUCUCAACAUUUUGGGGAGGUCAAUAAUGGGAAAGCAUUUGAUCUUGCUAAAAAAAGCAGAAGUAUCAAAUGUACACGAGUCUGUGAGUGUUGCAGUUCCCACUUGUGCGCCUAACAUUUGGUUGCCCAAUACUGUAUAUAGGAGGAGGGGUUUUGCGUUGUGUUUUUACAGAUGUUGCUCCUUUCUGAGGAUGAUAAAAAAAAAAAAGCUCCUUUGACAGUCAAGUGUUACAUUUGCAUACAACCACACAAAAUAAUAUAUACCAUACAUGUAUACAACAAAUAUGAGAUGGUGAGAUAAAAAAUAAAAAUAAAUUAAGUAAAAAAGAAAAAAACACAAACAGUUCCAGAACCUACUAAUGUGAACCAAGAUGAGAAUCCCCCUAUGUAAUUGUAUUAAUGUCCCUGUAGUGUUUCUCAGAAAAAUACCACUUUGCAUCACAAAAGUUCCUCUUCUGUGAAGUUUUAAACAACCCUGAACGUAUUCAACCCCAGUGUAAAGUGCUUUUCUUCACUGCUUAUGGGAUCCAUAUGCAACUGCCGGAUACUUGUAUUUUUUGGCAGUGCUCAGUGAAUGACGUGACAGGCGUGGUAAUAACAAUGAGAACACAAUUAAUUCCAGAUCUUUACAGACUUUGCACUCCGAAGUUGGCUAAGGGAAAAUCAAAAAGGGUGCGGUCAUGGUAUUUUAGUUCUGCUGGUUCAAAUAUACAUAUUGUGAAUGAUCAUUGACAUUUUUCGCUUUACUACAAUAAACGAAAGUAAAAUGUUUUAUCAUUCUAAAGUUUCCUGCCUGUCCGGACGGCAGUACUCAGAAUGUGAGUACAGUACAUAGGAAAUGACUCAUAGGAGUUGAACUGUUAGCGUGGGUGUGUACUCUAUUAAAACAAGGCUCAGACUACUCCGGGUGACUCAUUGUGAGGCUAGCUUUUCCAUGGUGAAAAACAAAACGGGCUUUUCAUCAGAUGAACUUUCGGGAAUUUCGUUUAUACAAGAAACAUGGCUUCAAACAUUAUCUGUGCGCUUUGUGGACUUGUCAUUGCGACUGUAGCGAACCUAAACGGCGCGAACGGGCAACAAAACCUAUGCAGUAGUUCAGAGUUCUGGAGUUCGGACAUAGACCAAUGCGUAUCCUGCUCAUCGUGCAAGCAGUAUCCAAAGACCCCUUCGUGUAACACUUGCACAUUUACCAAGGAAAGAUCUGAUGUCUGGAGACUGGCAGCCAUUUCCAGCUUCUCUGUGCUGGCAGUUAUUCUGGUCGCUGCAGUAUUGAUCAUUGGAGUCAUGGUGCAUCGACGCAAGGCACAGAAGAGGCCCCUCCGUGAACCCAUUGAAGAGACAACGGGACCUCUUUACCAAGCGUAAACAUUUCACCUCAUCUUCCUUCUGACAUUGAUGUGACAGAACCAAGGGAACAUCUUUGGAUGACCAACCGAAACAGAAUCAUUUUUUGUACUAUGGAUAAUACUCUGACCACAGGGUAUUAUUUGAGUGGAGUUUGACCAUUUAAUUUAUUAUACUGUUAGUAAAGAUGUGUUCACAUACACUCAGUGUGUUACGGAACGGAGCUCUCACAAAGAACUGUGUUAACAAGCGCUGUCAAUCCCCUACCUUGUCUGCAGUCAGACUGUACUCUGAGUAAGACAAUGUAGUUAGUAAAGAGUAUCUCUCACAGCUCUUUUUGAAAUGAAAUGAUGGCCUUUGAGUAGUGAUGCUAGGUUGAGCUUGUCUAGAUAUUCCAAUAAUCUAUCUAUCGAUAAGUAAGUUGUUCAAUCCAUAAGUAGUUUAAAAAACAGUAGUGAACAUGAGACACAUCUUGAAUGAUGUGGAUUUCCAACCGUUUCUGUCAAUGCUUGAACACCUGUUGUUUUAUUGUAGCUUAUUAGGACGAAUACCAACUACCGAACUGCCUCGACUUGCCAUCAGCAGGACAAAAGUGAAUACAGCACAAUCGUGCUUCCUGGGCCAGGUUUCACAUACUCUACUUCUAUAAGAGUAACGUUUCCAUUUAACAUCCUCGUGAUAAUGAAAAGUAAAAGGGAAAUGUUAGAUUAUAAAUUCAUGUUGGGCACAUUUUGGCAAUUUGAAUGUACUUUUAGGGCAAUUUAUCCAGUCUGUGUUUCCAUGUAGGAACUAUAUGCACUUAGAGCUAGUUGUUUUUUAACUCAUCAUUUUUAAAGGAGUAGAAUUAUUUUAACAGUAUCGUGCACUGUACUCUCUAGGAUCUUCCAAUCAAAAGAGGCAAAGGGGAAAAUAAGUGAACUGAUUAUGAAACUGCGUAUUGGACAUUCUUACAUAGGUCAUUUAACCAUUAUACUGUAGUAUGUGUGUAUGCAGGAUAAGUAGUAUAACACAGGGGCUUGCAAACUGUCGUGAUGGAAAAGUUCAAGGUGGUCCAGAAUCCUGUGGGAAUGUGUUUGUAUAGUUCAGGGAUGGGCAACUUUGAUGGGGGUGGGGGCCACAAAAAAAAUCUGAACACAUCAUGAGGGGCCACUGUUGUGCCGCCACCCAAUUCUACACAUCUCGCAAUAUGGUGGAGAGAAAUGUUUGCAGUUUUAAUUAUAUCUAACUGAGACUGACUAACAAAAUCAAUGCCCCCCCCCCCCCCCUGGGUGGUAAUUUGACCACGAUUACUACAAGUUUAGAUGGCUGAGCACUAGACUAAUUUACCAAUCUAAAAAAUGUUAGCUGACAUGGACUAAUUGAGGAACAAGAAAAACUGCUGAUGCACAACCAAAUUUCUAAAUGGCACCUUGUGUAUUCUCCUAUUCUAACUCUCAACAGUAAGUUGAGACCCUGACUAAGCCCUUCCACCUGUUGCCAAUCCCUGGUAUAGUUUAUACUGUUUUUUUCUUAUUUUUACAAUUAAAUCCAUUCCCGAUGGACAAAUAGGGAAGCCUUAGCGUUGUGCUCUCCACAGUUGAAACAAUGGAGAUGAGUCAAUGCUUGUGUGACAUUUUUUUUUUAACACUAUUAGACACUGACUGCCAACCCAGGAAGGAACAUUGCAAUUUAGGGAAAAACAAACUGAACCCUAUUGAAAUGUAUAACCAUGGUAUAACUGUGUACUCAUCUUCAAACUAACUCAGAGCACAAUUUUAGGGCUUGUGUGUCAGGAUAAUGUGGGUGGCUGAAUAUGACUUAAUUCAUAUUACUGACAAUAUUACUUUCUUAUCAAUAUUAAGUGGAUAUGUAUACCAGCAGCAAGAAAAGGGUCAUUGGACAAUUUUUAUACAGAUAUUGUUUUCAUAUAUAUUUAUUUAGAAUUAUAUAUUUUCUAAUGUUUAUGUGGUAACAGCUAAAUGUAUGAAUAAAUACUGACGAAGGGACACCUG